GACGAACGCUGGCGGCGUGCUUAACACAUGCAAGUCGAACGGAAAGGCCCUGCUUUUGUUGGGUGCUCGAUUGGCGAACGGGUGAGUAACACGUGAGUAACCUGCCCUUGUCUUUGUGAUAACUUCAGGAAACUGGGGCUAAUACCGGGUAGGAGCUCCUGCUGCAUGGUGGGGGUUGGAAAGUUUCGGCGGUUGGGGAUGGACUCGCGGCUUAUCAGCUUGUUGGUGGGGUAGUGGCUUACCAAGGCUUUGACGGGUAGCCGGCCUGAGAGGGUGACCGGCCACAUUGGGCCUGAGAUAGGGACCAGACUGCUACGGGAGGCAGCAGUGGGGAAUAUUGCACAAUGGGCGGAAGCCUGAUGCAGCAACGCCGCGUGCGGGAUGACGGCCUUCGGGUUGUAAACAGAUUUCGCCUGUGACGAAGCGUGCGUGACGGUAAUGGGUAAAGAAGCACCGGCUAACUACGUG
rnacentral:rRNA from 1 species